rnacentral:rRNA from 1 species
AACGAACGCUGGCGGCAUGCCUAACACAUGCCAGUCGAACGAGACCUUCGGGUCUAGUGGCGCACGGGUGCGUAACGCGUGGGAACCUGCCCUUAGGUUCGGAAUAACUCCCCGAAAGGGGUGCUAAUACCGGAUAAUGUCUUCGGACCAAAGAUUUAUCGCCUUUGGAUGGGCCCGCGUUGGAUUAGCUAGUUGGUAGGGUAAAAGCCUACCAAGGCUACGAUCCAUAGCUGGUCUGAGAGGAUGAUCAGCCACACUGGGGGUGAGACACGGCCCAGACUCCUACGGGAGGGAGCAGUGGGGGAUAUUGGAAAAUGGGCGAAAGCCUGAUCCAGCAAUGCCGCGUGAGUGAUGAAGGCCUGAGGGUUGUAAAGCUCUUUUACCCGGGAUGAUAAUGACAGUACCGGGAGAAUAAGCUCCGGCUAACUCCGUG